rnacentral:rRNA from 1 species
UACAGAGGGGGCAAGCGUUGUUCGGAAUUACUGGGCGUAAAGGGCGCGUAGGCGGCCUGUUAAGUCGAACGUGAAAUCCCCGGGCUCAACCCGGGAACUGCGUCCGAUACUGGCAGGCUUGAAUCCGGGAGAGGGAUGCGGAAUUCCAGGUGUAGCGGUGAAAUGCGUAGAUAUCUGGAGGAACACCGGUGGCGAAGGCGGCAUCCUGGACGGACAUUGACGCUGAGGCGCGAAAGCUAGGGGAGCAAACGGG